rnacentral:rRNA from 1 species
UGGUCAAGUUAUUAAGGGUGCAGGGCGGAUGCCUUGGCACUAGGAGCCGAUGAAGGACGUGAUAAGCUGCGAUAAGCUCCGGGGAGUUGCACGUAAACUUUGAUCCGAAGAUUUCCGAAUGAGGAAACUCACUUAGAGUAAUGUCUAAGUAUCAUUAAGUGAAUACAUAGCUUAAUGAGGGGAACUCAGGGAACUGAAACAUCUAAGUACCUGAAGGAAGAGAAAGAAAUUCGAUUCCGUAAGUAGCGGCGAGCGAACGCGGAUUAGCCCAAACCAAUAAAGUUUUCUUUAUUGGGGUUGCGGACAUAUCAUAACGAAGAGGUAUCGUAAUUGAAGAGGUUUGGAAAGACCCACCACAGAAGGUAAUAGUCCUGUAUGUUAAACGAGAAGACUUUAGAUAUGAUCCAGAGUACCACGGGACACGUGAAACCCUGUGGGAAGCAGGAGGGACCACCCUCCAAGGCUAAAUACUACCUAGUGACCGAUAGCGUAUAGUACCGUGAGGGAAAGGUGAAAAGAACCCCGGGAGGGGAGUGAAAUAGAACCUGAAACCCUGCACUUACAAGCUGUGGAAGCACAUUUCUUGUGUGACCGCGUACUUUUUGUAGAACGGGCCAACGAGUUACGUUAAGUAGCAAGGUUAAGCACUUAAGGUGCGGAGCCGUAGCGAAAGCGAGUUUUAACUGAGCGUUCAGUUACUUGACGUAGACCCGAAACCGGGCGACCUACCCAUGAGCAGGAUGAAGCGAAAGUAAAAUUUCGUGGAGGUCCGAACCCACGAGCGUUGAAAAGCUCGGGGAUGACUUGUGGGUAGCGGUGAAAUUCCAAUCGAGCCCGGAGAUAGCUGGUUCUCCCCGAAAUAGCUUUAGGGCUAGCCUCAAGGUGAGAGAUACGGAGGUAGAGCACUGAAUGUCCUAGGGGGUAUUGCACCUACCGAAGACUAUCAAACUCCGAAUGCCGUCAUCUUAUACUUGGGAGUCAGACUGUGGGUGAUAAGAUUCAUAGUCGAAAGGGCAACAGCCCAGAUCGUCAGCUAAGGUCCCUAAAUGUAAGUUAAGUGGUAAAGGAUGUGGGAUUGCACAGACAACCAGGAUGUGUGCUGAGAAGCAGCCACGCAUUCAAAUGGGGCGUAAUAGCUCACUGGUCGAGUGAUCCUGCGCCGAAGAUUUCCGGGGCUAAAACUUACUACCGAAGCUACGGCAUCAGUAAUGAUGGGUAGGGGAGCUUCCCAUACGGGUUGAAGCAUGACCGUAAGGACAUGUGGACAGUAUGGGAGUGAGAAUGUUGGCAUGAGUAGCGAGAUGUGGGUGAGAAUCCCACAGGCCGUAAACCCAAGGU